rnacentral:rRNA from 1 species
UACGGAGGGUCCGAGCGUUAAUCGGAAUUACUGGGCGUAAAGCGCACGCAGGCGGUUUGUUAAGCUAGAUGUGAAAGCCCCGGGCUCAACCUGGGAAUAGCAUUUAGAACUGGCAGACUAGAGUCUUGGAGAGGGGAGUGGAAUUUCUGGUGUAGCGGUGAAAUGCGUAGAUAUCAGAAGGAACAUCAGUGGCGAAGGCG